GGUCCCUAAAUACCAACUAAGUUGCAGUAAAGGAUGUUGGGCUGCCCCGACAACCAGGAGGUUGGCUUAGAAGCAGCCAUCCUUUAAAGAAAGCGUAAUAGCUCACUAGUCGAGUCGGCCUGCGCGGAAGAUGUAACGGGGCUAAGCAAUAUACCGAAGCUGCGGCAGCAUAGUUUACUAUGCUGGGUAGGGGAGCGUUGUGUAAGUGGAUGAAGGU
rnacentral:rRNA from 1 species